rnacentral:rRNA from 1 species
UACGAAGGGGGCUAGCGUUGCUCGGAAUCACUGGGCGUAAAGCGCACGUAGGCGGAUUGCUAAGUCAGGGGUGAAAUCCUGGAGCUCAACUCCAGAACUGCCCUUGAUACUGGCGGUCUCGAGUCCGGGAGAGGUGAGUGGAACUGCGAGUGUAGAGGUGAAAUUCGUAGAUAUUCGCAAGAACACCGGUGGCGAAGGCGGCUCACUGGCCCGGUACUGACGCUGAGGUGCGAAAGCGUGGGGAGCAAACAGG